ACUUUAGUUUUUCCACUUUGUUGCAAACAAUUGCAAGGUGUCCAGGUUUUCUGUCUUCCCCCAGCCUGCAAGUGCUCAGAGGACACCCAACCCUAUGAUCUCAGCCAACUCAUGAAGUUUGAUUUCACAAAACUUAGUGAUGUCUUCCCAGUGGAAUCCUAAAUGAUAAGGAAAAUGGUAUAGAGCCAAGACUUGAACAUUAACAACCCAGGAGCACAGAAACAGCACAGUUAGCUGAGAGGCGUUAUGGAGAGAAGCAACCGAAUGCGCACUGGGCGCUGUGAGAAGUCCACGACAGUGGGGAACAGCGCCCACCGUCACAAAAAGAAAGACCCUCGGCAGGUACUUUAGAGUCACGUUCAUGCUGUAAUAUGUGGGGAAGAAAGGCUAUUCCAAAUGGAUCUGGCUCUUUAAAACAAGGGAAUUUUCCUUGCUCUUGGGAACCAGCAAAAUCCAGCUGCUCAUUGAACUGCCUGUCUGGAAUCUCACAAAUUUGCACCUUGAAGUUGUUAAUAAAGGACUAAGUUGAUAAUUCGAACAAA
rnacentral:antisense_RNA from 1 species